rnacentral:rRNA from 1 species
AACCCGACUCCACGAAGCUGGAUUCGCUAGUAAUCGCGCAUCAGCCACGGCGCGGUGAAUACGUUCCCGGGCCUUGUACACACCGCCCGUCAAGCCAUGGGGAGCCGGGGGGUACCUGAAGUGCGUAACCGCGAGGAUCGCCCUAGGGUAAAACUGGUGACUGGGGGCUAAGUCGUAACAAGGUAGC